rnacentral:misc_RNA from 1 species
GAUGAAGAACGUAGCGAAAUGCGAUAAGUAAUGUGAAUUGCAGAAUUCAGUGAAUCAUCGAAUCUUUGAACGCACAUUGCGCCCGCCAGUACUCUGGCGGGCAUGCCUGUUCGAGCGUCAUUUCAACCCUCAGGCCCCCAGUGCCUGGUGUUGGGGAUCGGCCCAGCCUUCCUGUAAGGCCGCCGGCCCCGAAAUCUAGUGGCGGUCUCGCUGUAGUCCUCCUCUGCGUAGUAGCACAACCUCGCAGUUGGAACGCGGCGGUGGCCAUGCCGUUAAACACCCCACUUCUGAAAGUUGACCUCGGAUCAGGUAGGAAUACCCGCUGAACUUAAGCAUAUCAAUAAGCGGAGGA